UGGUUCAAAGGCUGUGUGACCUUGUUCAGAUCCUCAGUAUGCAUGAGUGGCCACACUGAGGAUUUCCCAGACUGAAGGGCUGCGUUCCUUCUGUGGUCAGCUUCUUCUAAGCAAGAGUUACUCUGAACUGAGCACGAAGACGAGGAACGUGCCUGAAACAUGCAGUCCUCUAUCUGCGUAAGCCACCUUCAAAGGCUAGAGACACUCCUGCAAAAUUUUACCCAAGGUUCCCUUGGCAACCUUCAAGCAGCUUCCACAACCCACAGAGGGGAGAUUACUAAAAGAUCGUUAGUCAUCUUUACCCCAUCACCGCCUGUCUCUUGAUUUCCACGUGAAAAGGAACCCUGAGAAGUGGAGCAGCAACCUGAACUAGAAAAAAAACCAAAAAAACAAAAUGCCCUCACGGCCGACUGAUUGUUCAAAGGAUUUUUCUAUAGAUAAUACAUUUCCUAACUUAA